rnacentral:rRNA from 1 species
UGGGGAAUAUUGCACAAUGGGCGCAAGCCUGAUGCAGCCAUGCCGCGUGUGUGAAGAAGGCCUUCGGGUUGUAAAGCACUUUCAGCGGGGAGGAAGGCGGUGAGGUUAAUAACCUCAUCGAUUGACGUUACCCGCAGAAGAAGCACCGGCUAACUCCGUGCCAGCAGCCGCGGUAAUACGGAGGGUGCAAGCGUUAAUCGGAAUUACUGGGCGUAAAGCGCACGCAGGCGGUCUGUCAAGUCGGAUGUGAAAUCCCCGGGCUCAACCUGGGAACUGCAUUCGAAACUGGCAGGGUAGAGUCUUGUAGAGGGGGGUAGAAUUCCAGGUGUAGCGGUGAAAUGCGUAGAGAUCUGGAGGAAUACCGGUGGCGAAGGCGGCCCCCUGGACAAAGACUGACGCUCAGGUGCGAAAGCGUGGGGAGCAAACAGG